CACAAGUCUUGGUAAUUGCUCUGAGGGAAUUUGCCUCUUAAUUUUUGAAAACACGAUAAAAUGCAUGCAAAUCUCUAAAUCUUGUAGAUGACAGCCCCUAAACCUCAGAAAUGUGUGGGGAGAAUUUGAAUGAAAGAUGACUCUACUCAGGCUAUAGUCUGAGGAACAGAAUUUAACAGGAGACAAUGGAAUUCUUACUUUGAUCCUCACUUAUGUGGAAACAUGAGGAUUUUGGAGAGUUUCUUCAUAUAAAGAACGCCCACAGAUUUCUCUGGGAGAUACAAGUGAAAUCACAAUGACAUCAAUAAUCCUGAAUUUCUUCUUCACACUCACUCAUGAAAAGUCUCCGAUUUUCCCACCUUGCUCAGCCACCUUAAGUGCCUUCCUUCAAGAUAUUUCCUACUGCUUCUAAAGAGGAUCUCCCAUUGGCUUGGGAGCAGCGUGAGAAGAGACUUGUACACAGAGAGGCUGGGCAACUUGUACAUGGUUGCACAGAUGUCCAGAGGCAGUGCUGAGAUGUGAACACAGGAAGACUGGAUUCAGCAUCUGUGCUACUAACCAGGACACUAUGAAGUCUCUCAUACCUGUGGUACUAGGAAAAUCAGAGAAAAUUUCAAGGAGGGUGGGGCAUUAGAAGCUGACUAUGGAGGAACCGGUAGGAGUUGGAUGUUUGGAAAUAGAGGGCAGGGCAUUGCAGGUAGAGAAUGGGAGUGUAUUCUGGAUGCCAACACAUCUGUGGCGGUCCUAAGAUCAGGAAUAGAUGGUCUGUAUCUUCAGUAUGACUUAAUGUUUCUGAGUGUAAGACUUAAUCUCCAUUUGAAAAAGGAUAAAAAGAAGGAAAAAAAAUAAAAGCUAUUACGUUUCUG
rnacentral:lncRNA from 10 species